AUGAAAACUAACCUAGCCCUGACCCUGCAGCCCUGGGAGAGGAGCCCCAGCCCCGGGAUUCCCAGGUGUUUCCAUUCGGUGAUCAGCACUGAACACAAAACUCACCGUGGAGUUUGGACUGAGCUGGGUUUUCCUUGUUGCUAUUUUAAAAGGUGUCCAGUGUGAAGUGCAGCUGGUGGAGUCUGGGGGAGGCGUGGUACAGCCUGGGGGGUCCCUGAGACUCUCGUGUGCAGCCUCUGGAUUCACCUUUGAUGAUUAUGCCAUGGGCUGGGUCCGCCAAGCUCCAGGGAAGGGUCUGGAGUGGGUCUCUGCUAUUAGUUGGGAUGGUGGUAGCACAGGCUAUGCAGACUCCGUGAAGGGCCGAUUCACCAUCUCCAGAGACAACGCCAAGAACUCCCUGUAUCUGCAAAUGGGCAGCCUGAGAGCUGAGGACACCGCCUUGUAUUACUGUGCGAGAGACACGUCCAUCGCAUCGGGAUUUGUGUACAGCAGAUCCUCUUCUUGGUGUCAGCAGCAAAAGUUAAGGGGCUCCCCAGUCCCAGGGCUGACAGAGAAACCAGGCCAGUCAAGUGAGACUUCCCACAAUCCUGUGUCCUCUCUCUCCACCGGUGCCCACUCCCAGGUGCAGCUGGUGCAGUUUGGGCCUGAGGCAAAGCAGCCUGUGGCCUCAGUGAAGGUUUUCUGCAAGGCUUCUGGUUACAGCUUUACCACCUAUGGUAUGAAUUGGGUGAGACAGGUCCCUGGAGAAGGGCUUGAGUGGAUGGGAUGGAUGAACACCAACACUGGGAACCCAAUAUAUGCCCAGGGCUAA